CUGAUGAGAGUGGCGCACGGGUGAGUAACGCGUAUGCAACCUGCCUAUAACUGGAGAAUAGCCCCCGGAAACGGGGAUUAAUGUUCCAUAAUGUUCAGAGAUCGCAUGGUUUUUGGACUAAAGCUCCGGCGGUUAUAGAUGGGCAUGCGUGCCAUUAGCUAGUUGGUGAGGUAACGGCUCACCAAGGCUACGAUGGUUAGGGGGUCUUAAAGGAUGAUCCCCCACACUGGUACUGAGACACGGACCAGACUCCUACGGGAGGCAGCAGUGAGGAAUAUUGGUCAAUGGGCGCAAGCCUGAACCAGCCAAGCCGCGUGAAGGAUGACGGCCCUAUGGGUUGUAAACUUCUUUUGUAUGGGAAGAACUCCCCGACGUGUCGGGGGCUGACUGUACUAUACGAAUAAGCAUCGGCUAACUCCGUGCCAGCAGCCGCGGUAAUACGGAGGAUGCAAGCGUUAUCCGGAUUCAUUAGGUAUAAAGGGUGCGUAGGCGGAUUAAUAAGUCAGUGGUGAAAUACUACAGCUCAACUGUAGAACUGCCAUUGAUACUGUUAGUCUUGAGUACAAUUGAGGUAGGCGGAAUGUGUGGUGUAGCGGUGAAAUGCUUAGAUAUCACACAGAACACCGAUUGCGAAGGCAGCUUACUAAACUGUAACUGACGCUGAUGCACGAAAGCAUGGGGAGCAAACAGGAUUAGAUACCCUGGUAGUCCAUGCUGUAAACGAUGAUCACUCGCUGUAUGUCCAUUAGGAUAUGUGGCUGAGCUAACGCAUUAAGUGACCCACCUGGGGAGUACGGCGGCAACGCUGAAACUCAAAGGAAUCGACGGGGGCCCGCACAAGCGGAGGAACAUGUGGUUUAAU
rnacentral:rRNA from 1 species